GGUAUGCUAGCGGCAGGCUAAUACAUGCAAGUCGAACGGCAGCGCGGGGCAACCUGGCGGCGAGUGGCGCACGGGUGAGUAACACGUACAUAACAUGCCUUUGAGAGGGGGAAAGUCACUGGAAACGGUGAAUAAUCCGCCAUAAGAUAUGAGCCUCGCAUGGGGUAAAUAUUAAAGGAGCGAUCUGCUCAAAGAUUGGUGUGCGUCUGAUUAGCUAGUUGGUGGGGUAACGGCCCACCAAGGCGACGAUCAGUAGGGGGCGUGAGAGCGUGGCCCCCCACAUGGGUACUGAGACACGGACCCAGCUCCUACGGGAGGCAGCAGUAAGGAAUAUUGGUCAAUGGGCGAAAGCCUGAACCAGCCAUGCCGCGUGCGGGAAGAAGGUUCUUAGAAUUGUAAACCGCUUUUGAUAGGGAAGAAUGGGCGAGAUUAAUCUUGCAAGAGACGGUACCUAUCGAAUAAGCACCGGCUAACUCCGUGCCAGCAGCCGCGGUAAUACGGAGGGUGCAAGCGUUAUCCGGAAUCACUGGGUUUAAAGGGUACGUAGGCGGCUCGUUAAGUCAUUAUUGAAAGGUCGUUGCUUAACAACGGACGUGGUAAAGAUACUGGCGAGCUAGAAUUAGACAGAGGUUGGCAGAAUGUGUCAUGUAGCGGUGAAAUGCAUAGAUAUGACAUAGAAUACCGAUAGCGAAGGCAGCUGACUGGGUCUAAAUUGACGCUGAGGUACGAAAGCGUGGGGAUCAAACAGGAUUAGAUACCCUGGUAGUCCACGCCGUAAACGAUGCUAACUGGGUGUAUGAUCGAAUAAGGGUUGUGCACCUGAGGGAAACCAUUAAGUUAGCCACCUGGGAAGUACGCCGGCAACGGUGAAACUCAAAUGAAUUGACGGAAGGGCG
rnacentral:rRNA from 1 species